rnacentral:lncRNA from 1 species
CCGGCCAGUCUGCUUCUUAUUUUUCCUGGGAAAUCAGCUCCAGGGGUCUAUCCAAUAAGACCUUCAUGUUUGCUGAACUUUUUGUUGAUCUAAAACAGACAUCAGCUGUUGGAAAGACACUGCUACUUUAAGAUGUUGGCCUGGGCAGAUAUUCCAGCAGUUUUAUUUUCCUCAGGAUUGUCAUGGGGAGAGGAGAACAAACUGUCUCAGCUACAGUGAAGCCGGGUCAUUUAGUCCUCUCAUUGCCUUAUUUUUAUAUGCAACAGCGCCCAGCUCAGGGCCUUAUGAGGCAGAAGGUGAAACUGACUCUGGAGGCGGGGACUCGGGUACCGGACCAGAUUGAGAACUAGCUAAACAGGGUCGGGCAGAGGCGGCUUUCCAUAAGACAGGGCCACCACGGCACCAUGUCAGUUUACCAUCGCCAUGGCAAUACCCGGAAGUUACCACCCCUUUCCAUGGCAAUGACCUGGAAGUUACCACCCACCUAGACAUUUCUGCAUAAACUGCCUCUUAAUUUGCAUAUAAUUAAAGACCAACUCCAUCAGAUGUUCCGGAGACUGAGGAAUCAAAGCCUUAGAAGACCAGGGUUAGGAAAUUAUACAGCAACAGGACUAACAGGAGAACAGGACACUCUCCAAACUCUCCCUCCAGUCUAAGAUGAUGCCAGCUCCAGGAAGUUGGGGAUUGUCUUCCUCACUCCUGUAUUCCCGGCUCCUAGAACAGUGACUGUCACCCAGCAGCUGUUGAGCUAAUGGCUAUUGAGUGGACAACCACUCGAGCAACAAUGCAGUCAGCUUCGUGGACUUUGUUUUACUGAGGGGCAUCUGGAGAGUUGGGACCAGAGGUGAAUUGCUCAAGAGAAGAGGGAAGCAGUGAGGACACAGCUGUCCUCCUCCAUCUAUCCCCAGAGCAUUUCCACUGGAAAAGGGGGUUUUGAAAAGAAAAUACAGGGGUUCAAAAUCCGAAGUGGAACCCAAGAGGACAGCAACACCUGGAGUGGAAUAAAACAAUCUCAACCCCUCUCGCCGAGUGUGCCGCUUCUCAAAGUGCACUUCAUUGAUUUGCAGUCAGCUGUCAGAUCGUUUGAUCAGAUUUCAUCUAGUUCAGUGCUGUGCACACCCAGAGGGCCCUUGAUAAAUGCAUGAUACAUCAAAUGAAUGGGCCUGACACCUGCAAAUGCUUGAGAACGUUGUGGGAAUGCAAGGAGGAAGGAAGGAGCCAUGCACUGAUUUCCUCCUAUCCAUCUCAACUGUGCUCCCAGCCUGCUGAGAAUUUGUAAUGGUCUCAGGAGUAAAUCAGCCACCGCCAAUCCAAGUGU